CCUACGGGCGGCAGCAGUGAGGAAUAUUGGUCAAUGGACGAGAGUCUGAACCAGCCAAGUAGCGUGAAGGAUGACUGCCCUAUGGGUUGUAAACUUCUUUUAUAUGGGAAUAAAACGUUCCACGUGUGGGAUUUUGUAUGUACCAUAUGAAUAAGGAUCGGCUAACUCCGUGCCAGCAGCCGCGGUAAUACGGAGGAUCCGAGCGUUAUCCGGAUUUAUUGGGGUUAAAGGGAGCGUAGGUGGAUUGUUAAGUCAGUUGUGAAAGUUUGCGGCGCAACCGUAAAAUUGCAGUUGAAACUGGCAGUCUUGAGUACAGUAGAGGUGGGCGGAAUUCGUGGUGUAGCGGUGAAAUGCUUAGAUAUCACGAAGAACUCCGAUUGCGAAGGCAGUUCACUGGACUGCAACUGACACUGAGGCUCGAAAGUGUGGGUAUCAAACAGGAUUAGAUACCCUUGUAGUC
rnacentral:rRNA from 1 species